rnacentral:rRNA from 1 species
GAUGAACGCUGGCGGCGUGCCUAAUACAUGCAAGUCGAGCGAACAGAUGAGGAGCUUGCUCCUCUGACGUUAGCGGCGGACGGGCGAGUAACACGUGGAUAACCUACCUAUAAGACUGGGAUAACUUCGGGAAAACGGAGCUAAUACUGGAUAAUAUAUUGAACCGCAUGGUUCAAUAGUGAAAGACGGUUUUGCUGUCUCUUAUAGAUGGUUCCGCGUCGCAUUAGCUAGUUGGUAAGGUAACGGCUUACCAAGGCUACGAUGCGUAGCCGACCUGAGAGGGUGAUCGGCCACACUGGAACUGAGACACGGUCCAGACUCCUACGGGAGGCAGCAGUAGGGAAUCUUCCGCAAUGGGCGAAAGCUUGACGGAGCAACGCCGCGUGAGUGAUGAAGGUCUUCGGAUCGUAAAACCCUUUUAUUGGGGAAGAACAAAUGUGUAAGUAACUAUGCACGUCUUGACGGUACCUAAUCAGAAAGCCACGGCUAACUUCGUG